rnacentral:rRNA from 1 species
AUUGAACGCUGGCGGCAGGCCUAACACAUGCAAGUCGAACGAGUGGCGGACGGGUGAGUAAUGUCUGGGAAACUGCCUGAUGGAGGGGGAUAACUCCUGGAAACGGUAGCUAAUACCGCAUACCAUCGGAUGUGCCCAGAUGGGAUUGGCGGGUGGGUGGGGUAACGGCUCACCUAGGCGACGAUCCCUAGCGGGUCUGAGAGGUGGACCAGCAACAUGGGAACGGAGACACGGCCCAGACGCUUACGGGAGGAAGCAGUGGGGAAUAUUGCAAAAUGGGCGAAAGCCUGAUGCAGCCAGGCCGCGUGUAGGAAGAAGGCCUUGGGGUUGUAAAGUACUUUCAGCGGGGAGGCGUUACCCGCAGAAGAAGCACCGGCUAACUCCGUGCCAGCAGCCGCGGUAAUAC